UACGAUUGAUAUUACGGCCCAUAGUGUC
rnacentral:sRNA from 1 species